rnacentral:rRNA from 1 species
UACGGAGGGGGCUAGCGUUGUUCGGAAUUACUGGGCGUAAAGCGCGCGUAGGCGGCUUUGUAAGUUAGAGGUGAAAGCCCGGGCUCAACCCCGGAAAUGCCUUUAAGACUGCAUCGCUUGAAUCCAGGAGAGGUGAGUGGAAUUCCGAGUGUAGAGGUGAAAUUCGUAGAUAUUCGGAAGAACACCAGUGGCGAAGGCGGCUCACUGGCCUGGUAUUGACGCUGAGGUGCGAAAGCGUGGGGAGCAAACAGG